rnacentral:rRNA from 1 species
UGGGCAACCUGCCCCAGACACAGGGAUAACCCCGGGAAACCGGAGCUAAUACCGGAUACUCUCCUCUGACCACCUGGUCGGAUGAGGAAAGGUCCGCCGGUCGGGGAUGGGCCCGCGGCCUAUCAGCUUGUUGGUGGGGUAACGGCCUACCAAGGCGACGACGGGUAGCUGGUCUGAGAGGACGACCAGCCACACUGGAACUGAGACACGGCCCAGACUCCUACGGGAGGCA